rnacentral:lncRNA from 1 species
GUCAUAACUCUCGUUCUUUUGAAACAUUGAGUUUUCGGUUAAGCUGUUUAACCUCCAAAUCCCUAUUACACAAUACUUAAUGGAGGCUGGCGAUUGAAGGUGGUUGUACGCUUCCAAUCAAAGACCUCUGUUAGUAGUGACCUAUGGAGACGUUGCUUUGCCCAUCUGGAUUAAUCUAUUAAUGGAUAUGGGUGUGACAUUAAUCCCAUUAAUUAGGCGUGUUAAAUAUUCUCUAGAAAACCCAAAAACUUUGUGAUUUUUGAGACUCAAACCCAUGACUUGGUGCCCAACACUACCACAUUUUUACCACUGC